rnacentral:rRNA from 1 species
CCUACGGGAGGCAGCAGUGGGGAAUAUUGGACAAUGGGCGCAAGCCUGAUCCAGCAAUGCCGCGUGAGUGAUGAAGGCCUUAGGGUCGUAAAGCUCUUUUACCAGGGAUGAUAAUGACAGUACCUGGAGAAUAAGCUCCGGCUAACUCCGUGCCAGCAGCCGCGGUAAUACGGAGGGAGCUAGCGUUGUUCGGAAUUACUGGGCGUAAAGCGUACGUAGGCGGUUAUUCAAGUCAGAGGUGAAAGCCCGGGGCUCAACCCCGGAACGGCCUUUGAAACUAGGUAGCUAGAAUCUUGGAGAGGUCAGUGGAAUUCCGAGUGUAGAGGUGAAAUUCGUAGAUAUUCGGAAGAACACCAGUGGCGAAGGCGACUGACUGGACAAGUAUUGACGCUGAGGUACGAAAGCGUGGGGAGCAAACAGGAUUAGAUACCCUGGUAGUCCACGCCGUAAACGAUGAUAACUAGCUGUUCGGGCACUUGGUGCUUGAGUGGCGCAGCUAACGCAUUAAGUUAUCCGCCUGGGGAGUACGGUCGCAGAUUAAACUUAAAGGAAUUGACGG